AAACCGACAUCGCUGUGGGGGAGGGGUCCGCUCCUGCCUAGGCAGCAGCUCCCGCCGUCGCUGCUGCUGCUGCUGUCGCGUUUGCAACAUCUGGCCUACAGACCUACUAAUUCCUACUCGUGAUCUCGUUUGGCGAAACACGAUCUACGUGGUUCAAAUACCUUCUAAAUUGGGGGCGAUUUAACAAUCGCGACCAAUUAAACCCAGGGAAGAAAAGGAAAAAAGAAAAAAAAAAAGGAAGAAAAGGCAGCAGCAGCAGCAAAUCCUCUCCUUCCUUCCUUCCCUCUCCCCCCGCCCGGGAUCGCACACACUAUCUGUUGCUCUCUCACGGCGGCAGCGGGUGGGGGCAGGCGGCGGGGCAGGGCCGGACUCACACUCGCUCGCUCACACUCACGCCCGGGCACCAUUGUCCCGCCCGCCCGCUCCGCUUUAUCGGGGUGUUUUGUCCGCUCCCCGGCGUGGCGUGGCGCGGAUCUCUGCGCGCCCGCCCGCGCCUCGCCGGAGCGGCGCACACAUUCAUUAUCGGCCGGGGGCUGAUUUCAAACCGCUGCCAUCGCGGCUCCAUUGUUCGCCGGGCGGCCAGGCCCCGCCCCCCUUUGUGUGGAGCGGCGGCGAUUGGCCGGCGCCGGGCGGAGGGCUGCCGUCACCGCUCGGGAAGCCCAUUCAUCUGUGCACUUGGGCGUUGGACUCCGCAUCUUAUUAGCAACCAGGGAGAUUUCUCCAUUUUCUCCUUGUCUACAUAUUUAUACCAAACCAACGCUCUUUGUUUCCCCUCCUUUUGGAUCUGUUGAGUUUCUUUGUUGAAUAAGACAGCAUGGGUGCCCAGUUCUCCAAGACCGCUGCAAAGGGCGAAGCCUCCGCCGAGAAACCGGGGGAAGCAGUGGCUGCAUCUCCAUCCAAGGCGAAUGGACAGGUAAAAACCAACAAAAAUAUAAAAAAAAUAUUAAACCUACUCCUUUUUUUAAGCCAACUUCGACGGACUCUUUUUCAUAUCCUGUUUAAUUCUUCUUCCUUUGAUGCCCCAGUGGCACAUUCAAUGGAGAAUACGGUCGAUCCUUUUAUCUUUGCAACUCGAGGCAAAGGAAUAAUUUGUUUUUCUUUUUUAAACGGGUUCGACUUUGAAUGAUUCGUUCCUUUAUCUUUCCUCAGGGGGGAGGGGGAGGAGGGGGCAUAUCUUUUUUUUCCCCUUUUUUUUUCUAUUUUUUUUAAUCCCUCGUGUAUCGUGGUGAAGCGUCCCAAUGGCUCGUAAACGGAAGGAUCUUACACCGCUCGGCUUUUCUGUCCGCUUACCCUCCUCCCGAAGACCCCCGCUGACUAGCCGAAACGCCUCCCGCGGUAGCCGGAUACCCGUGUGGUGGCGGGGAACGGAGCCGCCCGGCCGAGGCUCGGCGGGAGCGCGGCGGGCAGCCCCCUCGGGCGGGAGCGCGGAGCAGGGGCUGCUCCUCCCGCCCCGUCCGCGGCAGCUCCGCCGGGGGGUCAAGCAGCCGCGGGGCUGAAGGCUCUCUCAGUCACCCCACCCCCAAGCGUGAGCCGGCUGCUGAGCCGGCCGUGCCUCGCUCAGCGGCGGCGUUGCGGGCGGGCACCCCCCGCUGCCCCCGCAGCUGCCGCCCGGGGCAGCCCGCCGCUCUCCGGGCGCCGGAGAGAUGCAAA
rnacentral:lncRNA from 14 species